rnacentral:rRNA from 1 species
UUAAGCGACUAAGCGUACACGGUGGAUGCCCUGGCAGUCAGAGGCGAUGAAGGGCGUGCUAAUCUGCGAUAAGCGCCGGUAAGGUGAUAUGAACCGUUAUAACCGGCGAUACCCGAAUGGGGAAACCCAGUGUGAUUCGUCACACUAUCAUUAACUGAAUCCAUAGGUUAAUGAGGCGAACCGGGGGAACUGAAACAUCUAAGUACCCCGAGGAAAAGAAAUCAACCGAGAUUCCCCCAGUAGCGGCGAGCGAACGGGGAGGAGCCCAGAGCCUGAAUCAGCAUGUGUGUUAGUGGAAGCGUCUGGAAAGGCGCGCGAUACAGGGUGACAGCCCCGUACACAAAAGCGCAUGUGCUGUGAGCUCGAUGAGUAGGGCGGGACACGUGGUAUCCUGUCUGAAUAUGGGGGGACCAUCCUCCAAGGCUAAAUACUCCUGACUGACCGAUAGUGAACCAGUACCGUGAGGGAAAGGCGAAAAGAACCCCGGCGAGGGGAGUGAAAAAGAACCUGAAACCGUGUACGUACAAGCAGUGGGAGCCCCACCACCAAAGCNNNNNNNNNNNNNNNNNNNNNNNNNNNNNNGCUUUGGGGUGGGGUGACUGCGUACCUUUUGUAUAAUGGGUCAGCGACUUAUAUUCUGUAGCAAGGUUAACCGAAUAGGGGAGCCGGAGGGAAACCGAGUCUUAAUUGGGCGUUAAGUUGCAGGGUAUAGACCCGAAACCCGGUGAUCUAGCCAUGGGCAGGUUGAAGGUUGGGUAACACUAACUGGAGGACCGAACCGACUAAUGUUGAAAAAUUAGCGGAUGACCUGUGGCUGGGGGUGAAAGGCCAAUCAAACCGGGAGAUAGCUGGUUCUCCCCGAAAGCUAUUUAGGUAGCGCCUCGUGAAUUCAUCUCCGGGGGUAGAGCACUGUUUCGGCUAGGGGGCCAUCCCGGCUUACCAACCCGAUGCAAACUGCGAAUACCGGAGAAUGUUAUCACGGGAGACACACGGCGGGUGCUAACGUCCGUCGUGAAGAGGGAAACAACCCAGACCGCCAGCUAAGGUCCCAAAGUCAUGGUUAAGUGGGAAACGAUGUGGGAAGGCCCAGACAGCCAGGAUGUUGGCUUAGAAGCAGCCAUCAUUUAAAGAAAGCGUAAUAGCUCACUGGUCGAGUCGGCCUGCGCGGAAGAUGUAACGGGGCUAAACCAUGCACCGAAGCUGCGGCAGCGACGCUUAUGCGUUGUUGGGUAGGGGAGCGUUCUGUAAGCCUGUGAAGGUGGCCUGUGAGGGUUGCUGGAGGUAUCAGAAGUGCGAAUGCUGACAUAAGUAACGAUAAAGCGGGUGAAAAGCCCGCUCGCCGGAAGACCAAGGGUUCCUGUCCAACGUUAAUCGGGGCAGGGUGAGUCGACCCCUAAGGCGAGGCCGAAAGGCGUAGUCGAUGGGAAACGGGUUAAUAUUCCCGUACUUGGUGUUACUGCGAAGGGGGGACGGAGAAGGCUAUGUUGGCCGGGCGACGGUUGUCCCGGUUUAAGCGUGUAGGUGUGUGUUCCAGGUAAAUCCGGUUCACUUUAACACUGAGGCGUGAUGACGAGGCACUACGGUGCUGAAGCAACAAAUGCCCUGCUUCCAGGAAAAGCCUCUAAGCAUCAGGUAACAUCAAAUCGUACCCCAAACCGACACAGGUGGUCAGGUAGAGAAUACCAAGGCGCUUGAGAGAACUCGGGUGAAGGAACUAGGCAAAAUGGUGCCGUAACUUCGGGAGAAGGCACGCUGACACGUAGGUGAAGUGAUUUACUCAUGGAGCUGAAGUCAGUCGAAGAUACCAGCUGGCUGCAACUGUUUAUUAAAAACACAGCACUGUGCAAACACGAAAGUGGACGUAUACGGUGUGACGCCUGCCCGGUGCCGGAAGGUUAAUUGAUGGGGUCAGCGCAAGCGAAGCUCCUGAUCGAAGCCCCGGUAAACGGCGGCCGUAACUAUAACGGUCCUAAGGUAGCGAAAUUCCUUGUCGGGUAAGUUCCGACCUGCACGAAUGGCGUAAUGAUGGCCAGGCUGUCUCCACCCGAGACUCAGUGAAAUUGAACUCGCUGUGAAGAUGCAGUGUACCCGCGGCAAGACGGAAAGACCCCGUGAACCUUUACUAUAGCUUGACACUGAACAUUGAGCCUUGAUGUGUAGGAUAGGUGGGAGGCUUUGAAGCGUGGACGCCAGUCUGCGUGGAGCCGACCUUGAAAUACCACCCUUUAAUGUUUGAUGUUCUAACGUGGACCCGUGAUCCGGGUUGCGGACAGUGUCUGGUGGGUAGUUUGACUGGGGCGGUCUCCUCCUAAAGAGUAACGGAGGAGCACGAAGGUUGGCUAAUCCUGGUCGGACAUCAGGAGGUUAGUGCAAUGGCAUAAGCCAGCUUGACUGCGAGCGUGACGGCGCGAGCAGGUGCGAAAGCAGGUCAUAGUGAUCCGGUGGUUCUGAAUGGAAGGGCCAUCGCUCAACGGAUAAAAGGUACUCCGGGGAUAACAGGCUGAUACCGCCCAAGAGUUCAUAUCGACGGCGGUGUUUGGCACCUCGAUGUCGGCUCAUCACAUCCUGGGGCUGAAGUAGGUCCCAAGGGUAUGGCUGUUCGCCAUUUAAAGUGGUACGCGAGCUGGGUUUAGAACGUCGUGAGACAGUUCGGUCCCUAUCUGCCGUGGGCGCUGGAGAACUGAGGGGGGCUGCUCCUAGUACGAGAGGACCGGAGUGGACGCAUCACUGGUGUUCGGGUUGUCAUGCCAAUGGCACUGCCCGGUAGCUAAAUGCGGAAGAGAUAAGUGCUGAAAGCAUCUAAGNGUCUCCUGAAGGAACGUUGAAGACGACGACGUUGAUAGGCCGGGUGUGUAAGCGCAGCGAUGCGUUGAGCUAACCGGUACUAAUGAACCGUGAGGCUUAACCUU